rnacentral:lncRNA from 1 species
GCUGCGUUGUCCGCCUCGCUGCCUGCCGUUGCACGCCCAUGUGGCCCUCCCUCCCCACGCACGCUCGCCGCCCGCCCGCCCGCAUUAUCAAAUGCCAUCUUCUUCUACCUUGGUCCAUCACCCUCACAUUCACCCCACUACUAGCUGGCUCUCGUGUGCCAUCUGGAUCUGGAUCUAGCCCACUCCCUCCUCCGUCCCUGCCAUAUAUAUAAGCUCACCUAUAGGAGUCUUGAGCCAUCAGCACCACUGCCACUGCCGAGAAGAAAUCAUUAGCCAGAGUGAGGGUUCAACAUUCAACAACACUCCUUCAGUAAACCUUGUCCACUUCCAUCGAUCAUCGCCACGCCACAGAGAGAGAGAGAGAGAGUGUGUGUGUGUUGAAGAAAAGAAAGAUGAAGCUUAUGGGAAGGAGACGAGGGGGGAGGAGGAGGGUUGAGCCGGAGCCUCAAGGAGCACAGGGCCAGGCUCUACAUCAUCCAGCGCUGCGUCGUCAUGCUCCUGCGCUGGCACGACUGACUCACACCCUCCCUCCAUGGAUUCCAUGGACGCAUGGUGUUUUAGAUUUUUGGGUCUGUGAUUGUGCUGUGCCAGAAUGGUGUCGGCAUGCAGGUCGUACUUGUACAUAAGAGGCCAGUUGAUUAUACAAGUAGAAGUAGCAGCAAAGCAAUACUCCAAUCUAGUUAGUGUUCUUCAUCGAUUCACCAGUUCAGUUCCUCUAGCUGCCCUCCACCCUCUUCCUUCCAGCAAGUGUGUGUGUGUCCCAUUGUACGGUUGCAUUACCGCCGAAUACUGGAAUGCAAAAUCGGAUGAAUUAAGACAAGGAAUCGCUGGAUCAAUCGCUUUGUCCCCGUUCCAAAACUUGUUACUUGUGUGAUACUGUUCUUGGUGUUUCUUGCACGUGUUUAUCCAGCCCGGCCAGCUCCAACUGUUUUUGUCAACCACCGCGGCCGCCACCGUCCCAUGCUGGAGUCGCCGCCUUCGCCACGGCAAGCUUCGCCGUCGUCCCAUACGGGAGUAGAGCCCCUUCUUCUCUCCUCCCUGAGCUCGCAGCGGGGUCCAUGAUCGAGUUGGCUGGAAGGAAGGAAGGAAGGGAGAAGGAAGGUCUGGUGAAGGCUGUCAAGGACAGUCCUGUGCGGAGUCGUGUAAGGCCCGGCCCAUGUAACCCUCGACCUCUUCAUGCUCUCACGCGCGUCCCGGCGGCCGUUGACCAUUGCAAAACAAAAUUCUCCAAAAAUGGUCGAAAGAAAAAAAAUAAAUCAAGAAUCUGAAAAAUGUGUCUGAAAAUUAAAAAGGUUCAAUUUUUUUUGGUGAAUGAGGAAAAAGUUCACGCAUUUGGAAAACGAACAUAUAUUUGAUUUUCUUGUUAAUUUGAUUUUUUUUAAUGAAUUAUAGUUGACCAUUGACUUAUUGUCGAGCUUUUAAAAAAGGUUCAUCAGCCUGAAAAAAGUUCACAAGUUUUAAAAACACUUUGUAAAUUUCUGAAAAAGUUCCCAUGAUUUGUGGAUUUGAAAGAAAGUUCACAAUUUUAAGGACAAAGGUUCACAAAUAUGAAAAAGGGUUCGAUGAUUUUAAAUAAACACUUAUUUGAGUGGAAAAAGUUCAUGAUUGAAGUAAAAAUGUUCACAAAGAAAUCAAAAAAAGUUUACAAUUUUGAGAAAAAGUCGACACUUUUUUUUGCGAAUUUGAAAAAACUUCAUGUAGUUAAAACAAAAAGAUCUGUCCCUAAAAAUAUGAUAAAAGAAAGAAAAAAAACAUCUGAAAGCUUUGAGAAGCUUCUCGAAACUGGUCCAUGAUACUUCCCAAACCUGGGAGCUUCCCAUUCGCGCCUAAGAUGGUUGGCUGCCCCAUACGAAACGUAUCAAGGAGGAGAACGGGGAGGGGGGGGGGGGGGGGGUUGGGGGUUAUCCACAACCUAAAUUAGUGGCGCGAGUUUCAAUCCAUGUGACCACUAUUUUUUGAAAUACUAGUAUCAUGGACAUAUUUGGUAUGUCAUCACUCUGGACUUACCGAUGGUGCGAGUAGGAUCAUACCCCAUUGACGUGUGGCCUCCCUAGUCACGUCCCUUAUUGGUGCUUUGUUGGAUGUAUGGCACGUCACUAAUAACAUAAUUAUUUAUGACAUCAACUGAAUGCACGCGCUAUAGGUAUAUGGUUGAAACUCUUAUGGGUUGAGUUUUCGGGCUCGGUUUAUCUAUGGCGUAGGCUUUCUGUCGCAUGUCGUUAUCUUGAUUGUUUUUUAUCUAGCAGAAACUAUAGUCUAACCGUACACUUUUCUGUCUUCACACGACUCCUCGGCCUCUCUCGCGACUAGGCACCGCUGGAGCUUCCCCUGCAUCCACAGUGCCGGAGCUCUUCGCUUAUCGCCACCGCAAGAUCUCUCCGCUCGUUGCCGUGAAAGGUUCGACUGCAUCCCCUCCUGCCCAUCACGUCACCCUUGUGACUAACGACGCCCAACUGUUUAGCAUAGGAUGAUACGUUUAGUGUAUAUAUAUAGUCUAGUGCCAUUACAGGAAACAUGAGAUUUGCCGUCAGUACUGCAUUUUGUUGUCAUCAUUUUGUCGGCACAGACGGCAAAGACAUACUUUACCGUCAGCUGCAGAUGACAAAUAACGGUUGAUGGUAAACACAUACUUUGCCAUCUAUAAAAAAACCACAACCGAAAAAAAAUACUUUAGUCGUUUGCGUUUUUUUACAAACGGCAAAGAGCUUACUUUGCUGUCCAUAAAAAAACGGACCGUAAAGACUUUGUCGUCUGUGUUUUAUCUUACACACGACAAACUAAGUACUUUGCCUUGUGGAAAAGAAAACAUAAACGGCAAAGAGAAACCACAACCCAUCCACCGCAACUGCACAACCCACCCUCACCACUUUCUCUCUCCCAUCCCAUUGUCGGGCCCCACCCCAACCGUCCGUAGCAUCCCACCUGUAAAGUAGUUUGGCCGAUGGCAAAGAUAUUAUUAUUUGUGCUGGCAGUAAAAGAUUGAGAUUGGAUGACGGCAAAGGCUUUGUCCUUUGCCCGAUAAAAAGCUAAUGUCCCUUGUCGACAACUUUGCCAUCUGUACUUCAUAGACGAUAAAUUACCUUAUUUCCGUAGUGUAUAGAACGUAGAAUCCAUGGAUUGUGCUCCUCAAGGGUCUUGGGGGACUUGUACAAUAUUGAGCCGUAGAAAGGACCAACACUGACCCGCAUGGGAGGAGAAGUAUGCGACAUUUCAUCAACCACAAUGGUCUCAAUAGGGUGAAACGACCGGUUUCUCCCUAAGAGAAAGAAGACCCAUUAUUUUUACCAUAUUUAUUGAUGAUGGCGGUGAGGACAACGACUUCUUUGAUGAUGCCGUCUUCACCCAAAGAAUCAGGCUCAGCGAACAUGAGACUGGCCAUCUCUUCGACAACCUUCUGUCAAGUGAGGACUAUGCAGGGGUGUCGUUUGUACAUGUGUGACAAGGAUCAAUCUUGUCAGCCAUGUCAUAGUGUGUUAUUUAAAUUCAUUUAUUUUAUUUACAUAACGUGAGGCUAGUUUAUUGACAUCGUUGCUCUAUUUUUUUUUAGAUUAUUUCCUAAGAAGGUAGCUCAUAGGAGUGGCAUAACACUUGAUGAAGCAUGCCUUACUGGAAUACACCUUAUAACAAGGGACGUUGUCACCAUCUCUGCGUACAAGGCAGACACCGRMKASSACAAUAUCUUCAGUAUAAUGGGAUGGAAGGACUUCCUCACUAGGAAGAAUUUCCAGGUUGGACAAGACGUUCUAGUCACUAUAAAAAACGUGCAUGCCCCAACUUGAGAAUGAUGAUCAUCAUCGACAUCAUUUAAAAGUAAUUUCAGUAUAUGUGAUCAAGGUCAAGUGUGUGGCUAGGCCGUCGGUAUGUGAUUUGUGUCUUAAUUAAACUACUUAGUCCGCUUGUGUUGUCAAACCAGUCUCCUUGGAGUGGUGAAAUUGUUGGUUAUCUGAUUGUUCUACAUGCAAGGCUUGGCAUUGUUAAACUGAAUGUUGGUCUGUUUUAUAUUUCAUAUGUGCCACUGCCAUGCGGGAUGCAUUGCUAUCAUGCUGCACAAAUAAAUUGGUUAGAAAACACGUGUGGGUGCAUAUAAUAUAAAACACCGCUAGUUCAGUAAUUAUAGUGGUGGUGCGGGACACACAACACACCACCAAUAUCUACUAGUAGAAUGCCUAUACUGUUGAAAUUAUCAUAUUUCCCUCUUUACGAUAAAUGUUUAUUAUCCAUUAUAUAAUUGUAUUGAAUGGAAACUUAGAUACAUGUAUGGAUACAUAAAAAACACCGUGUCCCUAGUUAGCCUUUACUAGACUAGCUUGUUGAUCAAAUAUGGUUAAGGUUUCUUAAUCAUAGACAUGAGUUGUCAUUUGAUAACGAGAUCACAUCAUUAGGAGAAUGAUGUGAUGGAUAAGACCCAACUGUAAGCAUAGCAUUUGAUUGUAUCACUUAAUUUAUUGCUACCGCUUUCUUCAUGUCAAGUAUUUGUUCCCAAGACCAUGAAUUCAUGCAAUUCCCUCACAACGGAGGAAUACCUUGUGUGCUAUCAAACAUCAAUACAUAACUAGCUGAUCAUAAAGGUGCUCUACAGGUAUCUCCGAGGGUGUCUAUUGCGUUGGCGUGAAUCGAGACUAAGGUUUGCCACUCUGUAUGACAGAGAUGUAUCUCUGGGCCCUCUCUGUAAUACAACAUCACAAGAAACUUGCAAGCAAUGUGACUAAGGGGUUAGUCACGGGAUAUUGUAUUACAGAAUGAGUAAAGAGACUUGUCGGUAAUGAGAUUGAACUAGGUAUGGAGAUAGCGACGAUCGAAUCUCGGGCAAGUAACAUACCACUGGACAAAGGGAACUACAUACGCGAUUGACUGAAUUCUUGACAUCGUGGUUCAACCGAUAAAGAUCUUAGUAGAAUAUGUAGGAACCAAUAUGGGCAUCCAGGUCCCGCUAUUGGUUAUGGACCGAAGAGGUGUCUCAGUCAUGUCUACAUGAUUCUCGAACCCGUAGGGUCAACACGCUUAACGUUCAGUGACGCUAGAGUAGUAUUGGGAUAUGUACGUUGGUCAUUGAAUGUUGUUCGGAGUCCUGGAUGAGAUUCCGGAUGUCAUGAGGAGCUCUGGAAUGUUACACAUGUAAAUAUUUAUAUAUGGGAAGUCAUAUUUUGGCUACCGGAAAAGUUUCGGGUUUUGCCGGUAUUGUACCAAGAAGCUUCUGGAAGCUUCUGGAGGAUUCCAGAGGGGUCCAGAACUCCAUGGAGGGUUCAACCACACCCCUUAGGCCAACAUGGGCUAUAGGGGGGGCUCCCUAGCCUUAUUAGGCCAGCCUUCCAAGGGCCCAUGCGGCUAAGGGGCUAGAAACCCUAAGGGGCAAGGCACCUAGGUGCCUUGGGGAUGGAGGACUCCUCCCUCUUGGCCGCCACCCCUCCCUUUGUGGAGGGGUUAGGGCUGCGCCCCUCCUCCCCCUUGCCUCCUAUAUAUAGUAGAAGGAAGGGAGGGCUGAAUACAUCAAGUCCUCUCCCUCCCGUCUCUCCUGUUCUUGCUCGUUCGUAGUGUUGAAGGCGCUUGACGAAGCCCUACUGGCACUACUCCACCACCAUAUCCAUCAUGUCGUCGUGCUGGUCGAGAUUCCAUCUACUACUCCGCCCUUGAUCGCCGGAUCGAGGAGGCUGAGGCAUCAUCGAGCUGCAUGUGUGCUGAACGUGGAGGUGCCGUCCGUUCGGCUCUAGAUCGGGACAUAUCACGAUUGGAUCGUGAAGAAGUACGACUACAUCAACUGCGUUAUAAACGCUUUUGCUUAACGGUCUACAAGGGUACGUAGACACACUACCCCUCGUUGUUAUGCAUCUCCAUAGAUAGAUCUUGGGUGUUCGUAGGAAAUAUUUUGUUUUCCAUGCUUCGUUGUCCAACAGUGGCAUCAUGAAUUAGCAUUACCAACAACUCAAGAUAUGUGUUGAUAUCGUUGCCUGGUUGGACCGACCCUUGAAUUAGCAUUACCAUGUGUAUGUACUUUUGUUUCAUGCAUAGCCAAGGUGGGAGAUUUUUUUUUUUUAGAAAAGGAGGUCGAGCCCCGGCCUCUGCAUCGAGUGAUGCAUACGGCCAUAUAUUAUUAGCCAAAAAAAGUCUCCACCGAGUACAAAAUGUCUGAAGCAAAAAGGGAAAAGAAGAAAAGAACGAUACAAGGCAUUACUCAUGCCCAAGCCGGAGAUGGCAAACAAAUAAAUAGAUGACUAAACACCUAUCCUAUUAACAUGACGCCAUCCAAACCGGUUGAAGAUACCCUGUGCUACCAUCUCCCAUCGGACACACCCAGUACCCAUAGGUUCCCUGGCGACCACAGGAGUGAGUGAUGACCAAGUGUGGAUCAGUGCGGUAGCUCUGUGAAUAACCUGCAGGAAGUGAAAAUCGCGUUGUCUGUUAAACACCAAGUCAUUCCUGCAAUUCCAAAUUGCCCACAACAGUGCACAAGACCCCACGCGAAUAAAUUUAGCAGAAUGUACAUCCACCUCAUUUAGCCACAUCCCAAAUAACGUGGUUAUACUGUUUGGAGGAAUGAUGUUAAAAGCAAUAUGUAGCGAACGCCAAACCAGCUUAGCCAUAGGACAAGUAAGAAAGAGGUGUUGUAUUGUUUCUUUAGCCGGACAGAAACUGCAUCUAGAGUUACCAUUCCAAUUUCGCUUGGCAAGAUUAUCUUUCGUUAGAAUUACCUCUUUAUGAACAAACCACAUAAAGACUUUGACUCUAAGAGGGACUUUGAUCUUCCAAAUAUGUGCCGAUUUUGAAAUAGGUGUAGAAUCGAUGAGAUUCAAAUACAUCGAUUUAACCGUGAAUAUUCCAUUGCUAGUCAACUUCCAAUAUACACGGUCAGGAGUGUGAGACAGGUUGACAUCCAUCAACCUUCUCACAAGAUGCAGCCAGCUGAUCCAUCUACUCCCAAUAAGAGAUCUGCGGAAUUGAAUAUUCAGAGGAAUCUCGCUAAGUACUGACGCAACGGAUGCUUGCUGCCGUUGUGCAAUAUGGUACAGCUGCGGAUAUUGAAAUGCUAGAGGCAUCUCCCCUAACAAAGUAUCUUCCCAGAAGCUAGUCGAUUCACCAUUACCAAUGAUGAAUCUAGUUCUACAUAAGAAAGCAUUUUUAGUCCGCAUCAACCCUCUCCAGAAAGGAGAAUCCGUUGGAUGAGCUGUAACCUGAGAUAAUGAUUUGUUCUGUAAGUACUUGUUCUUCAAAAUUUGUACCCACAUACCUUCGGUUUCCGAAGAUAAUCUAAACAGCCAUCUGCUGAGUAGACACCUAUUUUUAAUCUCUAAAUUUUCAAUUCCUAAACCACCCUGAUCUUUGGGUCUACAAAUAAUAUCCCAUCUAGUCAUCCUAUACUUGACCUUAAGCUCAUCACUUUGCCAGAAGAACCGGGAUCGAUAGAAAUCCAGUCUUUUCCGUACCCCAACGGGAACUCCGAAGAAGGAUAGGAGAAACAUGGGCAUACUCGUUAGUACUGAGUUUAUCAGCACUAGCCGUCCUCCAUAAGAAAGAAGCUUGCCCUUCCAGCAACUCAGCUUGUUCUCAAAGCGAUCCUCGAUACAUUUCCAUUCCUUGUUUGAUAAACGUCGGUGAUGAAUAGGAAUCCCUAAAUACGUAAAGGGUAAUUUCCCAGUUUCACAACCGAACAAUUGAUUAUAAGUGUGUUGUUCACUUUUGGCUCUACCAAAACAGAACACCUCACUUUUAUUGAAGUUAAUUUUCAGCCCAGAUAGCUGCUCAAACAGGCAAAGUAUGAGUUUCAAAUUCCUAGCUUUAACCAGGUCAUGUUCCAUAAACAGAAUGGUGUCAUCGGCAUAUUGUAGUAUCGAAACUCCCCCAUCCACAAGGUGCGGGAUGAGCCCCCCAAUCAUAUCCUUAUCCUUAGCCCUCUUAAUCAAAAGGGCCAACAUGUCAGCAACAAUGUUGAAUAGAAUAGGGGACAUUGGGUCCCCUUGCCGGAGACCCUUGAGUGUCUGAAAGAAGUGACCUACGUCAUCAUUAACCUUAAUCCCGACACUGCCAUUUUUGAUGAAACAAUCGACAUGCUUUCUCCAGAGCUCAUCGAACCCCUUCAUACGAAGGGUUUGCUGCAAAAAAGACCAUUUGACUUUAUCAUAGGCCUUUUCAAAAUCCACCUUGAAGAUAACACCAUCAGGUUUCUUCGAAUGGAUUGUACAUCCAAACAAACACGGGUCGUGUAAUAUGUGUGCCAAAUGGAUUUAGUCCAUCGGGACUGACUCACAACCUUGGGUUUCUUGCUUCUGCUGUGAAAUCUGGUUCUAUAUAGUCGAGUGCUUUUCACUGACAACCAUCUGCAAUAUGUCUCAGAAUACCAUCAUUUUAAAUGCCCUAGUCUUGUGUCAAGUCAUGUUCUUUGCGUCCUUCGCAUCAACAAAAUAACUAUGUAUAUUGCUGGCAUUGCAAAAAAAGACAACAACACCACUACUAUGUAUAUUUCUGGCGUGUCAUAGUACGCGAUGCUGGUGUUAUGUGGACCACAAAAUGGACCGACAAAAAUGGACCCAUAAAAUAUACUGUUGGUAUCAGGAAGAAAGCAACACCAUAGCUAUAGGAAAUACUACCGUGUGACAGCCCGAUGCCGAUGUUCCAGAAGAUUCCCCUUUAUUUCCGUUUCCGUCGUGUGGUUAUUUUAUUUUGUGGCAUCAUCAUGUAGUUCGCAUCAUGCCUUCUUGCAUUGCAUUCUUUCUUGUUAUUGUGGUUGUGUUGAUGUGGGUGUCCUUGUUGUGAUGUGCAAGUGUUGUGUUGAUGUGCUUCGUCUUUGUUUAGGUGUGGGGGCAACAAGUGCAUGUCAAAACCCACAUGUUGCUCCACUAGGGAAAAAACCCUUCUCUCUCCCUAUGUUAUUUGUGGCAGGUUUAAAAGGCUUUGUUUCUCCCCUUUAAAAAAAUGUUCAUCUUUCCCUUAAAAAAAUCCUUUUCAUAUUGUGGAGGCAACCCCUCUGGUUUCUACUUUAUUUUUUUCCUUUUGGUUUUAGUUAAAAAUUAGAGUCCCAUUUUAUUUAUAGAAAGGGUUUAUUUUUAUUAUUCAAAAAGGUUUCAUUUUAUUUCUUUAAAAAAAAGCCCAAUCUAUUUUUAUAGUUGGGGUAUAUUUUUUCCAAGAGCCCCAAAAGCAUUAUUAUUAUUAUUAUUAUUUUGUUUUGGUUAAUUCCUUCUUUGCAUGUGUUUCUCUUUAUAAAAGGAAAAAAACCAAAGAGGGAAUGGGGAGGAGCCCAGCCUGCCGAGCCGGCCCAAGGCCCAGCUGGACUCCCCCUCCAACCCUAGCGCCCCAGCCCGAUCCCUCUCUUUCCCUCGUCGCGCAGCCUCCCCCCUCUGCCCCGAUCCCGAUCCCUCUUCCUCGCCUCCUUGCCCUCUCCUACCCCGAGCCCCCUGCCUACGCCGGCUUGUUGUGCCGACGGCGUCAGCCCGUGCCGCCAACCCCCUAGGCCGCCGUGCUCGCUGCGCCCCGCGAUGCCCGCCGGUUGCCGCUGCAAGGAGCCGCAGCCCCAUGCCGAGCAAGCCGCCGCGCCGCCUCGCUGCGUCGUCCCUCGCCCUCGGCCUCGCCUUGCCUCGCCAUGGCCGCGCACCGCCGCCUCCAGCAGUUGUCCCGCUCGUCGCCCUGCCCGUCGUGCCGACGUCCUCGUAGCGCUGCCGACCUCGACCUCUCCCCGCCGGUGUGCGCCCCGCCGUUCCUCGCCGUGCCCGGCCUCCUCCUCCGGCCUGCUGCGCCGCCAUGCAGUUGUUGUGCCGAAGAUGCUGCAGUAGUUGCUUGCCUGCUUGCGCGGUUGCUAUCGCCUGAUGCAUGUCGCCGGUUGUAGCUGCUGCUGUGCCUUCCCUGCCGCUAGCUCUUGCCUGCUGCCGAGCUUGUGCUGCUGCCAGUUGCUGUUGGGGAUGCUUGCCUGCCGCCGAUGCUCUUGCUGGUGCCUGCAGGCUAUUGUCACCGAUAGUUGCUUAGGUGCUGUUUGCCAUGUUGUAGAUGUUAGUUGUUGUUUCGUAGUUUGCUGCUGAUUGCCUUGCUGUUGCCGAUGCGUUUUGCUGCUUAUCUGCUGUUGCUGCUAGCUUGCGUGCCUGCUAGAUUGCCUUGCUGUUCGCCGCGUGCCUUUGAUGCUAGUGUUGCUACUAGUUGCUAGUCGCUGCUGCCAGUUGAUGUAGCUUGCUGUCGCGUUGUUGCUGUAGUGUUUGCUGAGGUGAAUUGCCAUGCCAUGCCUUGCAACAUUGAACUGAUCAUGCAUCAUAGUAGGUUGUGCAUCAUGUCGUGCUUUUGGUGUGGUGAAUAUUUGUGUUGAUGUUUGUUUCCGGUUUGCUCCGUUUCGAUAGAGUUCCGCAAGCAUGUCGGAAUGUGAGGACCUGUUCGACCACGAUGGUUCGUCUGCUUCACGGAGUCAUUCUUCGUCCAAGCGGGAUCUCAGGCAAGAUGACCAUUUCCCCAUAUAUCAUUACUAUCAUUGCCAUGCUAGUUUUAUCGCUUCUAUCGAUUAUGUCUCGUUGCCUACCACAUGUUAAAUAUCAGCCUCUCAAUAAUGCCAUGAAACCUUCAACCUGUUCACAACCUAGCAAACCACUGAUUGGCUAUGUUACUGCUUGCUUAACCUUGUGUUAGCGUUGCUAGUUGCAGAUGCAGUUGCUUCCAUGUGAUAACAUGGGUCCCUUCUCAUAUCACCAUUUUUAUUGCUAUUUAAUUUAAUGCACCUAUAUACUUGGUAAAAGGUGGAAGCCUUGGCCUUUCUAGCCUGGUGUUUUGUUCCACCUUUGCCCCCUUAGUUUCGGCUACCGGUGUUAUGUUCCAUAAUUGAGCGUUCCUAACACGAUCGGGGUUGUUAUGGGGACCCCCUUGAUAAUUCGUUUUAGACUAAAGCUGGUCUGGCAAGGCCCAACAUUGGUACUACAUUUGCCCAACAUAAUAAUUCUGUUAAACUGAAAUGCAUAGGGCGUCAUGAACCCGAGGAGUAAUUCUACAUAAUACAGGGAGGGCCAGUGCUGAGGGUGCUGGUCCAAAACAGAGCACCGUGCGGGGCCAGCCCGGGGCAACUCGGGUGAUGUCUAUCAGGCCACCGUACGCUUCUCUUAUCCGUCUGUCCUGAGAACGAGAUACGCGGCUCCUAUCGGGAUCGUCGACACGUCGGGUGGCCUUGCUUUAUUAGUUUUACCUUUGACGAGAUAUCUUGUGCAUCGGGAUUCUGGUGAUGCUUUGGGUAAUCUGAGAGUUGAGGUUUUCCACUAAGGAAUCCGAUGAGAUCGCGAGUGUCGUGAUUGAGGAUUUCUAUGCGGCUUGUGGUAAUUUGUGAUGGACUAGUUGGAGCAUCCCUGCAGGGUUAAAUCUUUCGGAAAGCCGUGCCCGCGGUUAUGUGGCAACGUGGUAACUUUGUUUAACACUGGUUCUAGACAACUUGAAGUUAACUUAAUUAAAAUAUGCCAACUGUGUGCGUAACCGUGACUGUCUCUUUCGUGAGUUCCUUCUCCGAUCGAGGACACGGUGGGGUUAUGUCUGACGUAGGUAGGUGUUCAGGAUCAUUCAUUUGAUCAUUAGUAGUUACGUCCGCUAUGCGUAGAUCUUCCCCCUCUUAUUUCUUGUACUCGUAAGUUUAGCCACCAAAUAUAUGCUUAGCCGCUGCUGCAACCUCACCACUUAACCUUACCUCACCCAUUAAGCUUUGCUAGUCUUGAUACCUUUGGAAAUCAGAUUGAUGAGUCCCCUGUGGCUCACAGAUUACUACAACACCAGUUGCAGGUACAGGUAAAGGUUACUUGAUGUGAGCGCGUUAAUUGUUCAUUUGGAGUUGCUUCUUCUUCUUCUUCUUCUUCUUCAUCGAUCUAGGUGUUGGAAAUAUGCCCUAGAGGCAAUAAUAAAUUAGUUAUUAUUAUAUUUUUAGUUCAUGAUAAUCAUUUAUUAUCCAUGCUAUAAUUGUAUUGAUUGGAAACACAAUACUUGUGUGGAUACAUAGACAAAACACUGUCCCUAGUAAGCCUCUAGUUGACUAGCUCGUUGAUCAAAGAUGGUCAAGGUUUCCUGGCCAUAGGCAAGUGUUGUCACUUGAUAACGGGAUCACAUCAUUAGGAGAAUCAUGUGAUGGACUAGACCCAAACUAAUAGACGUAGCAUGUUGAUCGUGUCAUUUUGUUGCUACUGUUUUCUGCGUGUCAAGUAUUUGUUCCUAUGACCAUGAGAUCAUAUAACUCACGGACACCGGAGGAAUGCUUUGUGUGUAUCAAACGUCGCAGCGUAACUGGGUGACUAUAAAGAUGCUCUACAAGUAUCUCCGAAGGUGUUCAUUGAGUUAGUAUGGAUCGAGACUGGGAUUUGUCACUCCGUGUGACGGAGAGGUAUCUCGGGGCCCACUCGGUAAUACAACAUCACACACAAGCCUUGCAAGCAAUGUGACUUAGUGUAAGUUGCGGGAUCUUGUAUUACGGAACGAGUAAAGAGACUUGCCGGUAAACGAGAUUGAAAUAGGUAUGCGGAUACUGACGAUCGAAUCUCGGGCAAGUAACAUACCGAAGGACAAAGGGAAUGACAUACGGGAUUAUAUGAAUCCUUGGCACUGAGGUUCAAACGAUAAGAUCUUCGUAGAAUAUGUGGGAUCCAAUAUGGGCAUCCAGGUCCCUCUAUUGGAUAUUGACCGAGGAGUCUCUCGGGUCAUGUCUACAUAGUUCUCGAACCCGCAGGGUCUGCACACUUAAGGUUCGACGUUGUUUUAUGCGUAUUUUAGUUAUAUGGUUGGUUACCGAAUGUUGUUCGGAGUCCCGGAUGAGAUCACAGACGUCACGAGGGUUUCCGGAAUGGUCCGGAAACGAAGAUUGAUAUAUAGGAUGACCUCAUUUGGUUACCGGAAGGUUUUCGUGCAUUACCGGAAAAGUUUCGGGCUCAUCGGUAGUGUACUGGGAGUGCCGGGAGGGGUGCCAGGGACCAUCAGGAGGGGUGUCACGCCCCAAGGGGUCUCAUGGGCUCUGGGAAGAGAUAAACCAGCCCCUAGUGGGCUGGAAUAAGUUUCCACUAAGGCCCAUAAGGUUUGAGAAGGAAAAAACACAAGGUGGAAAGAGUUUCCAAGUGAGAAGGUGGAAUCCUACUCCAAGUAGGAUUGGAGUAGGACUCCUCCACCUCCAAUUUCGGCCAAACCUUUAGGUUUUGAGGCUGCCUCCUCCCCUCCCUCCCUCCUAUAUAUAGUGGGGUUUUAGGGCUGAUUUGAGACGACUUUUCCACGGCAGCCCGACCACAUACCUCCACGGUUUUUCCUCUAGAUCGCGUUUCUGCGGAGCUCGGACGGAGCCCUGCUGAGACAAGGUCAUCACCAACUUCCGGAGCGCCGUCACGCUGCCGAAGAACUCUUCUACCUAUCCGUCUCUCUUGCUGGAUCAAGAAGGCCGAGAUCAUCGUCGAGCUGUACGUGUGCUGAACGCGGAGGUGCCGUCCGUUCGGUACUAGAUCGUGGGACUGAUCGCGGGAUUGUUCGCGGGCGGAUCGAGGGACGUGAGGACGUCCCACUACAUCAACCGCGUUCACUAACGCUUCUGCUGUACGGUCUACAAGGGUACAUAGAUCACUCAUCCCCUCUCGUAGAUGGACAUCACCAUGAUAGGUCUUCGUGCGCAUAGGAAUUUUUUUGUUUCCCAUGCGACGUUCCCCAACAGUGGCAUCAUGAGCUAGGUUCAUGCGUAGAUGUCUUCUCGAGUAGAACACAAAAGUUUUUGUGGGCGGUGAUGUGCGUUUUGCUGCCCUCCUUACUCUUUUCUUGAUUCCGCGGUAUUGUUGGAUCGAAGCGGCUCGGACCGACAUUACUCGUACGCUUACGAGAGACUGGUUUCAUCGCUACGAGUAACUCCGUUGCUCAAAGAUGACUGGCGAGUGUCAGUUUCUCCAACUUUAGUUGAAUCGGAAUUGACCGACGAGGUCCUUGGAUGAGGUUAAAUAGCAACUCAUAUAUCUCCGUUGUGGUGUUUGCGUAAGUAAGAUGCGACCCUACUAGAUACCAUGGUCACCACGUAAAAGAUGCAACAACAAAAUUAGAGGACGUCUAACUUGUUUUUGCAGGGUAUGCUUGUGAUGUGAUAUGGCCAACGAUGUGAUGUGAUAUAUUGGAUGUAUGAGAUGAUCAUGUUGUAAUAGUUAAUAUCGACUUGCACGUCGAUGGUACGGCAACCGGCAGGAGCCAUAGGGUUGUCUUUAAACUAACGUUUGUGCUUGCAGAUGCGUUUACUAUAUUGCUAGGACGUAGCUUUAGUAGUAAUAGCAUGAGUAGCACGACAACCCCGAUGGCGACACGUUGAUGGAGAUCAUGAUGAUGGAGAUCAUGGUGUGACACCGGUGACAAGAAGAUCAUGCCGGUGCUUUGGUGAUGGAGAUCAAGAAGCACGUGAUGAUGGCCAUAUCAUGUCACUUAUGAAUUGCAUGUGAUGUUAAUCCUUUAUGCACCUUAUCUUGCUUAGAACGACGGUAGCAUUAUGAGGUGAUCUCUCACUAAAAUUUCAAGACGAAAUUGUGUUCUCCCCGACUGUGCACCAUUGCGAUAGUUCUUCGUUUCGAGACACCACGUGAUGAUCGGGUGUGAUAGACUCAACGUUCACAUACAACGGGUGCAAAACAGUUGCGCACGCAGAACACUCGGGUUAAGCUUGACGAGCCUAGCAUGUGCAGACAUGGCCUCGGAACACAUGAGACCGAAAGGUCGAGCAUGAAUCGUAUAGUUGAUAUGAUUAGCAUAGAGAUGCUUACCACUGAAACUAUUCUCGACUCACGUGAUGAUCGGACUUGAGAUAGUGGAUUUGGAUCAUGUACCACUCAAAUGACUAGAGAGAUGUACUUUUUGAGUGGGAGUUCUUAAGUAAUAUGAUUAAUUGAACUAAUUGUCAUGAACAUAGUCUAAUGGUCUUUGCAAAUUACCAUGUAGCUUGCGCUAUAGCUCUACUGUUUUUUAUAUGUUCCUAGAGAAAAUUUAGUUGAAAAUUAAUAGUAGCAAACUUUGCAGACUAAGUCUGUAAAACCGAGGAUUGUCCUCGUUGCUGCGCAAAAGGCUUAUGUCCUUAAUGCACCACUCGGUGUGCUGCACCUCGAGCGUCGUCUGUGGAUGCUGUGAACAUCCUACAUACACGUUUUUGAUGACUACACGAUAGUUCGGUGCAAAAUACUUAAUGGCUUAGAAGCAAGGCGCCGAAAAACGUUGUAAAACGUCACGGAACAUAAGUAAUAUUCUAAAGAGAUGAAAUUGUGAUUUCAUGCUUGUGCCCUUGUUAAGAGGUAUGAGACCUCCGACAAGAUUCUUUGUCCACAAAGUAAAGGAGAAAAACUCAAUUGUUAAGCGUGUGCUCAGAUUGUCUGAGUACGACAAUCGCUUGAAUCAAGUGGGAGUUAAUCUUCCAGAUGAGAUAGUGAUGGUUCUCCAAAGUCACUGCCACCAAGCUGUGAGAGCUUCGUGAUGAACUAUAACAUAUCAAGGAUAGAUACAAUGAUCCUUGAGCAAUUCACGAUGUUUGACACUGCGAAAGUAGAAAUCAAGAAGGAGCAUCAAUAGUUGAUGGUUAGUAAAACCACUAAGUUUCAAGAAAGGCAAGGGCUGGAAGGGAUACUUCGUGAAAUGACAAAACAGUUGCUGCACUAAUGAAGAGACCCAAGAUUAAACCCAAACCCGAGACUAAGUGCUUCUGUAAUGAAAGGAACAGUCACUGAGGCGGAGCAACUCUAGAUACUUGGUAGAUAAGAAGGCUGGCGAAAGUCGAAAGAAGUAUAUUUGAUAUACAUGAUGUUGAUGUGUACCUUACUAGUACUCCUGGUAGCAUGAGGGUAUUGGAUACCGGUUCGGUUGCUGAGUGAUUGGUAACACGAAAUGAAAGCUACGGCAUAAACGGAGACUAGCUAAAAGGCGAGGUGACGAUGCGUGUUGGAAGUGUUUCCAAGGUUGAUAUGAUCAAAUGUCGCACGCUCCCUCUACCAUCGGGAUUGGUGUUAAACCUAAAUAAUUGUUAUUUGGUGCUUGCGUUAAGCAUGAACAUGAUUGGAUUGUGUUUAUUGCAAUACGAUUAUUCAUUUAAAGAGAAUAAUGGUCACUCUAUUUUCUUGAAUAAUCACCUUCAAUGGUUUAUUGAAUCUCGAUCGUAGUGUUACACAUGUUCAUGAUAUUGGUGCCAAAAGAUACGAGUUAAUGAUGAUAGUACCACUUACUUGUGGCACUGCCGCUUGAGUCAUGUUGGUAUUAAUUGCAUGAAGAGGCUCCAUGAUGAUGGAUCUUUAUACUCACUUGAUUUUGAAUCACUAGUGACAUGCAAAUCAUACCACAUGAGCAAGGCCUUGUUUUCAUUGAGAUGAAAUAAGAUAGUAACUUGUUGGAAGUGAUACAUUUUGAUGUAUGCAGUCCAAUGGGAGCUGAGGCACGCAGUGGAUAUCAUUAUGCUCCUACUUCACUGACGAUUUGAGUAGAUACAUGAGUAUUUACUUAAUGAAUCACAAAGUCUGAAAUAUUGAAAAGUUCAAUUCUGUUUCAGAGUGAAGUUCGUCGUAACAAGAAGAUAAACUGUCUACGAUAUGAUCAUAGAAAUGAAUAUCUGAGUUACGAGUUUUGGUACGCAGUUAAGACAAUGUGGAAAUUGUUUCGCAGUUCAUGCCACCUGGAACAUCAUAGUGUGAUGAUGUGUCUGAACGUCAUAGCCAUGCACUAUUUGGUAUGGUGCAUACUAUGAUGUCUCUUAUCGAAUUACCACUAUCGUUUAUGGGUUAUGCAUUAGAGACAACCGCACUCACUUUAAAUAGGGCACCACGUAUUUCCGUUGAGAUGACACAGUAUAGACUGAGGUUUAGAGAAAUCUAAACUGUCGUUUCUUGAAAGUUUGGGGCUUCGACACUUAUGUGAAAAAGUUUCAGUCUGAUAAGCUCGAACCCAAAGCGGAUAAAUGCAUCUUCAUAGGAUAUCCAAAAUAGUUGGGUACAUCUCCUAUCUCAGAUCCGAAAGCCAAGUGUUUGUUUCUACAAACGGAUCCUUUCUCGAGGAAAGGUUUCUCUCGAAAGAAUUGAGUGGGAGGGUAGUAGAACUUGAUGAGGUUAUUGAACCAUCACUUCAACCAGUGUGUAGCAGGGCGAAGGAAGUUGUUCCUGUGGCGCCUACACCAAUUGAAGUGGAAGUUGAUGAUGGUGAUCAUCGAGCAUCGGAUCAAGUUACUACAAGCCUCGUAGGUUGACAAGGUCGCGUACUACUGCAGAGUGGUACGGUAACCCUGUCUUGGAGGUCAUGUUGUUAAGCAACAAUGAACUUACGAGUUAUGAAGAAAGCAAUGGUGGGCCCGGAUUCCGACAAAUGGCUGGAAGCCAUGAAAUCCGAGAGAGGAUCCAUGUAUGAAAACAAAGUGUAGACUUUGGAAUAACUACUUGAUGGUCAGAGGACUAUUGAGUAAAGAUGGAUCUUUAAAAGGAAGACAGACGAUGAUGGUGAUAAGUCACUAUUAAGAAAAGCUCGACUUGUCUCAAAGAUGUUUCCGACAAGAUCAAACAGUUGACUAUGAUGAGACUUUCUCACUCGUAGCGAUGCUAAAGGUCUGUUAGAAUUAUGUUAGUAGUUACUGCAUUAUUCAUGAAAUAUUGCACGUAGGAUGUCAAAACAUUGUUUCCUCGACGGUUUCCUUGAGCAAACAUUGUAUGUGAUACAACCAGAAGGUUUUGUCGAUCCUAAAGAUACUAGCAAGUAUGCAAGCUCCAGUGAUCCUUCAAUGGACUGGUGCAAGCAUCUCGGAGUUGGAAUAUACACUUUGAUGAGAUGAUCAAAGAUUUUGGGUUUGUACAAGGUUUAUGAGAAACUUGUAUUUCCAAAGAAGUGAGUGGGAGCACUAUAGAAUUUCUGAUAAAUAUAUGUGGUUGACAUAUUGUGGAUCAGAAGUAAUGUAGAAUUUCUGUAAAGCAUACAAGGUUGUUUGAAAGGAGUUUUCAAAGGAAUACCUGGAUUGAGCUACUUGAGCAUUGAGCAUCAAAGAUCUAUGGAGAUAGAUCGAAAGCGCUUAAUGGAAGUUUCAACAAGAUGCAUGCCUUGACAAGUUUUUGAAGGAGUUCAAAAUAGAUCAGCAAAGAAGGAGUUCUUGGUUGCGUUGUAAGGUGUGAAUUUGAGUAAGACUCAAAACCCGACCACGGCAGAAUAAAGAGAAUAGACGAAGGUCGUCUUCUAUGCCUUAGCCGUAGAAUCUAAAGUAUGCUAUGAUGUGUACCGCACCUGMUGUGUGCCUUGACUCAAAGUCUGUUGAGAGGUACAAAGAGUGAUCCAUGAUUGAAUCACUAACAACGGUCAAAAUUUAUCCUUAGUAACUAAUGGACUAAGGAAUUUUUCUCGAUUAUGGAGGUGGUUAAAGAGUUCGUCGUAAAGGGUUUCGUCGAUGCAAGCUUUGACACUAAUUCGAAUAACUAUGAGUAGUGAAACGGAUUCAUAUAGUAGAGUAGAUAUUUGGAGCAUUUCCGAAUAGCACAUAGUAGCAUCAUCUAUAAGAUGACAUAAAGAUUUGUAAAGAACGCACGGAUCUGAAAGUUUCAGAACCGUUGACUAAAACCUCUCUCACGAGCAAGACGUGAUCAGACCCCAUAACUAUAUGGGUGUUGGAUUCGUUGGAAUCACAUGGUGAUGUGAACUAGAUUAUUGACUCUAGUGCAAGUGGGAGACUGUUGGAAAUAUGCCCUAGAGGCAAUAAUAAAUUAGUUAUUAUUAUAUUUUUAGUUCAUGAUAAUCAUUUAUUAUCCAUGCUAUAAUUGUAUUGAUUGGAAACACAAUACUUGUGUGGAUACAUAGACAAAACACUGUCCCUAGUAAGCCUCUAGUUGACUAGCUCGUUGAUCAAAGAUGGUCAAGGUUUCCUGGCCAUAGGCAAGUGUUGUCACUUGAUAACGGGAUCACAUCAUUAGGAGAAUCAUGUGAUGGACUAGACCCAAACUAAUAGACGUAGCAUGUUGAUCGUGUCAUUUUGUUGCUACUGUUUUCUGCGUGUCAAGUAUUUGUUCCUAUGACCAUGAGAUCAUAUAACUCACGGACACCGGAGGAAUGCUUUGUGUGUAUCAAACGUCGCAACGUAACUGGGUGACUAUAAAGAUGCUCUACAGGUAUCUCCGAAGGUGUUCGUUGAGUUAGUAUGGAUCGAGACUGGGAUUUGUCACUUCGUGUGACGGAGAGGUAUCUCGGGGCCCACUCGGUAAUACAACAUCACACACAAGCCUUGCAAGCAAUGUGACUUAGUGUAAGUUGCGGGAUCUUGUAUUACGGAAUGAGUAAAGAGACUUGUCGAUAAACGAGAUUGAAAUAGGUAUGCGGAUACUGACGAUCGAAUCUCGGGCAAGUAACAUACUGAAGGACAAAGGGAAUGACAUACGGGAUUAUAUGAAUCCUUGGCACUGAGGUUCAAACGAUAAGAUCUUCGUAGAAUAUGUGGGAUCCAAUAUGGGCAUCCAGGUCCCUCUAUUGGAUAUUGACCGAGGAGUCUCUCGGGUCAUGUCUACAUAGUUCUCGAACCCGCAGGGUCUGCAUACUUAAGGCUCGACGUUGUUUUAUGCGUAUUUUAGUUAUAUGGUUGGUUACCGAAUGUUGUUCGGAGUCCCGGAUGAAAUCACGGACGUCACGAGGGUUUCCGGAAUGGUCCGGAAACGAAGAUUGAUAUAUAGGAUGACCUCAUUUGGUUACCGGAAGGUUUUCGUGCAUUACCGGAAAAGUUUCGGGCUCAUCGGUAGUGUACUGGGAGUGCCGAGAGGGGUGCCAGGGACCAUCAGGAGGGGUGUCACGCCCCAAGGGGUCUCAUGGGCUAUGGGAAGAGAUAAACCAGCCCCUAGUGGGCUGGAAUAAGUUCCCACUAAGGCCCAUAAGGUUUGAGAAGGAAAAAACACAAGGUGGAAAGAGUUUCCAAGUGAGAAGGUGGAAUCCUACUCCAAGUAGGAUUGGAGUAGGACUCCUCCACCUCCAAUUUCGGCCAAACCUUUAGGUUUUGAGGCUGCCUCCUCCCCUCCCUCCCUCCUAUAUAUAGUGGGGUUUUAGGGCUGAUUUGAGACGACUUUUCCACGGCAGCCCGACCACAUACCUCCACGGUUUUUCCUCUAGAUCGCGUUUCUGCGAAGCUCGGGCGGAGCCCUGCUGAGACAAGGUCAUCACCAACCUCCGGAGCGCCGUCACGCUGCUGGAGAACUCUUCUACCUCUCCGUCUCUCUUGCUGGAUCAAGAAGGCCGAGAUCAUCGUCGAGCUGUACGUGUGCUGAACGCGGAGGUGCCGUCCGUUCGGUACUAGAUCGUGGGACUGAUCGCGGGAUUGUUCGCGGGGCGGAUCGAGGGACGUGAGGACGUUCCACUACAUCAACCGCGUUCACUAACGCUUCUGCUGUACGGUCUACAAGGGUACGUAGAUCACUCAUCCCCUCUCGUAGAUGGACAUCACCAUGAUAGGUCUUCGUGCGCGUAGGAAAUUUUUUGUUUCCCAUGCGACGUUCCCCAACACUAGGAUGGGUUCGAGGCCGGCAGCCUGGGAUAGCAAGGAUGGACGUCGUUCUUCUUUUCUCGUUUGUUUUCGUCCGUAGUCGUAGCCUGCUCUUAUUCGUGAUGAUUAUGUAUUAUACUGAUGUGACUCUGAUGUAGCUUGUGGCGAGUGUAAGCCAAUUAUAUUAUAUAUCUCUUCUUUUCAGUACAUGUACUUGUAACGAUAUCCAUUCUUGCGACACGACGAGAUGCGGUUCUGUCCGUGACAAGGCCCCGUGCCAAAUUGAGGAUAGGGUCGCAUCUUGGACGUGACAUACCGGCAUGGUAUAAAUCUGCUACGCCAACAAUAAUUUACGUCUGCACACAAUAUAGGAGCUCAUGUACAAGUGGCGUUCCAUGAAAUUUUUACGCCGACACUAACUAAGUACCUAUGGCAUACGAAAAUGGGCGGCGCCAGCGCCAUUUGAAAAAUAUAGUGCCGACAUUGGCACUAGCCAUUUCACCACUAUUGUAUUGUUACCAAAUAAAAUUACUACUUGCUGAAAAAAAUGAGCCAUUCACUCAUACAACUUUCUACAAAGCCAUCUCUCAUGAAAUACAAUUUGCCACAUUUUCUAUAGUAGAGAAACUAUUCCGCUCAAACAGAUGCAACUAAACAGGCCAAUCCCAAGUGUUCUAAGUGAGGCAGUGAUUGGGGCCGCCGUGGUAGGGCAACAACAAGGGACAAGGACGGCAACCGCCUUCCCAUCUUAGUGUUAGUACCUCCUAUUUCUAUGUUGGACACACCCUUCAUGCCAGGCUCUACCAUGAUGGUGUCACACUCAUGUGUUGCCAUAAAAUAAAACAGUUUGUCCAAAGCAUGAAAAAUGUAUAUGUUUGUCUACUCUUCCCUCCCUCGCAUGCACAUGCAUGAUUCAUGAUACAAAUUGAUGUAUCUGUUAGAGAAGAGAGAGAAAACAAUUCCCCUCACUUUCUAUAUCCGAUAUCUAAAAUUGUUUUUAGGUCAUCAAAUUUACCAAUUCUAUGAUCUAAUAAACCUAAUGAAAGAGAGGGCAUAUCAACUUGAAACCUUGAGAUUCAUGAUUUUAGCCUUGUGGUUGGAUUCGCUGACGGCGGCGCUUGAGUGUCGCUUCCUUCCUGGAGGUGUUGUUAUUGAAGAACCUUGUCGUCGAUAUAGUGUCAGGAGAUAGUGGUGCGAAUAUGAUCAUUUUUGUAGUUUAUCCAUCGCAGAUCUGAUCACUAUGGGUCUUUUUUUUCUUUUUUCCUCGCCUACGCAUAGCUUGGUCUUAUAUGACUUUGCAAGCUGCGAGCAAGUUUUCGUGUGAGUUGAUAUUCGCUGCGUCCAUUCUAGCUAUGCAGAGGCAAAUAAAGUUCACCCUUUAUCAAAGAAGAAAUUGGGUCUGGCAUACAUCCUUUGCGGGCUUUGGCAGUUACUGAAUUUCACAUGUCUGAAGGAGACAAAGAUUGUCCUAAUAACACAGAAUGGUCCAUUAGCUCUACUAAGAGAAAAUAUGGUCUGUGGUCUGUGACAUGUCAAGUAUGUUCGUGGUUUUCUUUCGAGAGUUUGAGUGGUUGAGAUGUGCUCCACAGAAAGGUUACAUGAUAUCAGUUGUUUGUUUAUCUGGGCAUGAUUGUGUAUCUUGUUCUAGUGGUUUCGUGUCCGAUUGAGCAAAAGGUGGCGAUUGUUUCUUUCCCCCAACUCGCCUACCCACAGAGAGACGACUAGAUGAGGUCUCCGGCGCCGCUGCCGGCUAGAGAGUACUUAAUCUGCAGAAAAGAAAUCGAUGCGAAUCCACUCACUGUUUAUACUGGAAAGGAACAGCAUAUCAUGGUUCUAUAAAAUAAGGAACAGCAUAUUGCACUAAACUAGUUGAUCUAGCUUCUAUUUCAAUUAAGAAUUUAGUGGCUUGGUGAACACGGUAUGUACGUAGGGAUAUAGAUAAGCUCAAAACUGUUCCAGUAGUAGAGUACAAAUUAAACGACAACUGACAAAUUGCCCUUCAGUUUUUUUUCUUGUCAUGACUUCCGCAAAUCGUAUUUCAUAAUGAAACUUUGCAAGCAUUCAAAACAUUCAUCAAUGUUUCACAGAAAAAGAACAACUUCUAUUUUUAAUUUAUUUUUUAAUUGGUGCGUUCCUUACUGUACGUUCACCCGAGCUCUUUUUUGUGUUUUUUAUUAUACGUUUUAGGCCACUUUUACAGAGGGAGUACUCAUGUCAGGGUUUAUUAUGACUUCAUCUAGACUCGUGACACAAAAAUGAACGGCUCGUAAUGUCCGAAUGUACUGUCAAAUGACUCAAAAUAAUGAAUGUGUGCAUCAUAACGAGACACAGGCCCAAGGUUUAAACCUCCUUCUCGAAAAAUUGCUGAUGAUGCAUGGGCAGCCGUGUACGUCUCAAAUCAAGAAUUACUGACAGCAUUUAUAUAUGAACACAUUAAAGCAGGAGUUGGUAAAGGAAUUGCAUACCCCACGUCCCUUGAACUCAAACCUUGAAUGAGGACGUAGGAUGUAGGAUGUACUCCAAGGCUAACAACACAGCUUGCAACAACUACACUCUUAAACAAGUCCAUCUGCACAUUCAAGACUAACCAAAGCUGCCUAAAGCAGAUUAUUCGACCACUUUUGUUUUGUUUGUUUGAAAGAUCGAAUUUGGACUACCUUGCCUUCUCAACAAAGCCAAUGGUUAAAUUACAAGGUGUCACACGGUAAAGCGUGCCACUUUUCGUUCGGACCGUGCAUGCUGCUAGGCCAAAUUAGCUUUUCGCACACAAUGUCACUAAAACUGCCAAGAAAAAGCAUGUCUUAUGCUGAAGCCUCGUCGAGACAUGGAGAUGGGCGAUGUGUUGCAAUGUUGAUUGCCAAUGGUAUUAGCUGCCAAGAUUUGUAAACAAUGGAUUUGCUAUAUAUCUAUUGAAAAACAAAAUAUUUGCCAUGCCAGGUAGUUUUUUYUUUUUUAACAUAUUGCCUCCCUACUAAUUUCUCACUCCAGCCAUGCAUGACCACUUGAUGACCCUCCCUCGAUGAAAACAACGCCACUUUGCUCGACCAGCUAAGUAGCUAACCCCACAAUUUUCAAUAUAUGUGAAAAUUCAAUUUGUUCUAGAAACACACUUCAAAACUAAGUGGUAUCAUGUAUAUUUGACUCUGGAAUAGCCACUAUAUCAGAUGGGUAUCCUGCUGUUAUUUUCUUUCCUUUUCUUUUCCCAUUGAUUAUCAGGGUUUUAGAUCUCUUUUCUUCUUCUUUUCCACAUCCAUCUAGUUUGCCCUUUUCUAGGUUAUUAUGCGUAUGUGUACGCAUUCCUUGAACCAACACACCCUACAAGAAGAACCAUAUAUAAGAUAUCUUCUGUUAGAUACUUGGCAUACCUUUUGGCAUAGUAGUCUAGAGUCUAUAAAGCUCUGUUGAGAGACCGCGAUACACGAGCAAUGAACAUGAAGCUUCAUAUCUACCGUUCAGCAUAAGACGGGAAAGAUAGAAUAAAGAGAAACAAUUGUAAGGUAAAUGCAUGCCAUCUUCCCCUAAGGGGUGCUGACAGUAAAGCAGAGGCCUAGAAGCCACGCUUGCUUUCUGCUCUGGGCUCAUAUAAUUAGCUAGGGCUCCCCUCAUCUCAUCAUCAACCCCAUUAUGCGCCGGUGAUGCGAAUACCAUGGAGGCACGAUCUCGGCCGUCCAAGUACCGUCAGACAUGCUGAUCGCACGGUGGGUGCGACCCUCUUCCUCCUAUAUAUUGAGGUGCGCUGGCCUCUCAUUCUCCUUAAGCAUAAGACAGCAACAAAAGCCAGCCCAUAGCCACUCUCUCUAUGCUUCUCUAGUUUCUAGCUGGAAAGUUUCUCUCAGUAAGCAGCAAGCUGAACCUGGUGUGGAGGUAGGUAGGAGGAUGGGAGGGAAGUCGUCCUUCUCCUUCUUCUGCCCGAUGUUCAGCUUCCUGUCGAGGUCGAGCUCGAGCUCGAGGUACGAUGACGGCUACAUGAGCGACUGGGAGGGCCGGCCGAGGUGCGGGAGCAAGGUGCGGUCCAGCGACGAGGACUCCGGCUGGUGGGUCGGCGAGCGCGACGUCGACCGCAAGGCCGCCGACUACAUCAACGACUUCCACCAGAAAAAAGGUCUCCGGCCGCCUAGCGCCGCCAACCUAGGUGCCAUGCAUGCAACGCUCGCCAUGCAUGCAACCAUGUACCAGGGAUCCAGGACACGAAGGUUCUUGAAUGGUUCCAUUUGUUAUCAUGCAUGCAUGUAUGUGUUGAUUUAGAGGAGGGACGGACGAAUAACUUUUGCUUGGCAGAUGUAGAUCUCUGUGUUCGUGUCGAUCGUGUGUGCGCGUGCUUGGGGUGGAGGGGAUGACAGGGAUGCGUCACAGAUGUAUUUGUUGUUUGCCGCUAAAUUAAGCGAUGAUGAUGAAUGUAUAGUGUGUUUCCAUGCAUAUGUGCUCUGUUCGAUCAGUAAUUCAUCGGAUUUGCUAAAUCACAGGCAACUGAUUAUCGAUUUUGUGCUUCGGUUUCGCUGUGUGGUGGACAGCAGCGCCCGAGGCCGGCCGCAGCGUCGCAGAUGGAGGCGAGUUGGCGUCGGUGGCCGAGCCUAAGUCGGAGACGUGAACUCCGUCGACGCGUGGAAAGCCACGGGAUAGAUAGGGCGGUGCUGGAGGUGGCAUCCGGCGCACAACUGCAGGAAGAGCGAUCUCCUACCGAAUAUGAUGACACUGAUAUAGCUAUACGGGAUAGGGUAAGAGCAUUAAUCCACCCUCGAUCCGUAAAAUAACCGUCAAAAUGCGGGACGAGGCGGAAAAGCCUGCCCGAUCACACAACGCAUCCUGUCCCGGUCCGCAAAAGAAUUUAGAGGCGCGGCAAAUUCCCGACCCCAACCUGGGAAAACGCAGGUUUCCCCCUCGCGGCUGCGGUGUCCUGCAUCACAGAGAAGCAGUUGGCGGGAGGGACAUUUCAGCCCGCGCUAUUUUCCCCUCCUUCCACCGCAUCCCCGCCCUUGCUUCCGCCCGCCCGCUGCCGGCGAUUCCGGCCAUAUCUGCAGGCGAGCCGCUGCACCGCCCCUCCGGAUCCGGCGAGAAGAGCCGCCUACCGCCGCCGCCGCCGUCGGGGAUCGACCACCGCCUCGUCGCCGCCGCCGGUUAGUACCUUUUUUUGUGGUUCCUACUAUCCUCCCGCCAACUUCCCUAGAAGAUGGAGUUGACCCCGUGCGAGAAGUUCCUACUAUCCGAUUCGUCCGAUUCGGACGGCUCGGAUGUUGAGACCAUGCUUGCGACCUUUCGUCAGCAAACAUUAGUCAUGUCGCUUGCCGUGAAGGAGCAUGAAGACGAGAACCGGAAGAGGAGGCGAGGAUCGACUGUCGGGCGUUUGUGCAUUCCUCGGAAUCGCCAACUUGGGAACGAGAUGUUGAUGCAAGACUAUUUCGCGGAGAAUCCUACAUAUCCUCCACACCUCUUUCGGAGAAGGUACCGAAUGCGACGAUCCCUCUUUGUGAAAAUUGUUCAACCUUGCGAGGAAAAUUGCUGGUAUUUUACUCAAAGAAGGAAUGCCGCGAGCUUAAAGGGAUUUAGUGCAUAUCAAAAAAAUCUCCGCAGCUAUGCGGGUGAUUGCAUAUGGCGUUCCGGCUGACUAUGCCGAUGAGUACCUUCGCAUUGGUGAAGAUACCACAACUGAGUCUGUGCGUAGAUUUGCGAAAGUGAUCAUCCGUCUCUUCGGUCCUGAGUAUCUUCGGGCACCCAAUGAAGAUGACACAAAGAAAUUGAUGGCAUCUAAUGAGAGGAGAGGUUGGCCUGGCAUGCUAGGUAGCAUUGAUUGUAUGCAUUGGAAUUGGAAAAAUUGCCCCAAGGCUUGGCAAUGAAUGUAUUGUGGCAAGUCUCGCGAUGCAACAAUUGUGUUAGAGGCCGUAGCAUCCGAGGAUUUAUGGAUUUGGCAUUACUUUUUUGGUAUGCCGGUCACUCUCAAUGAUAUCAAUGUGUUGCAACGGUCUCAUUUGUUUGCUAGGCUUGCUAGUGGUGAUGCUCCUGCUUGCAACUACACUAUCAAUUGGCAUGAAUACACAAAGGGGUACUAUCUUGCAGAUGGUAUGUACCCUCCUUGGUGCACAUUUGUCAAGAGCAUCAAAGAACCCAAAACAAAAAAA